AUACUGAUAAUGCCUUCCUUUUAUCUUUAAUAGUUCUCACAUCUUAAGCUGGUGAUAUUUUACAGUAUUUCACUUGGUUGAGGAUACCAACAUGAUAGAUGGUACAUUUUUUGUGCUAUCUUUAUCCAUUUGUCCAUCUUAAAACUAAGCAGGAGUGGAUGGAUACAAGGAAUAUAUCCUCAUAGAGAUUUGUGAGAGGAUACUUUCUUCUCCAUCAGAUGUUUGUUGGUGCCUCAAAUUCACCCAUGGGCAUGUUUGAAGCAUAUCUUCCCCUGUAAUUAUAGAAAUAUGCAAACCUAGAGAAGUCGGAUUGUGUGGUUUGGCUGCAAGGAAAUUGCAAAAAUAAAGGCCCCAUAUGAAUUGGCAUACAUUAUAAACCCACUUGGAUCAGUGUUUUCCUGAUUACUGUUGUAAGUUAAGAACCUCGUAAAAUUUUUACACAUCUUAAGAAAUAAGAAGUGAAUCUGUGUGCUA